GUUGUCCUUUUUUUAUCGAUCAGCUGUUGUAAUUUCUGGUAUGUUAAAGAUUUCCUACCAAUAAAAAGACGAAUGAGAUAUUUAUUUCCUUUUCUAUAUGAUUUUUUUUUUUCCUUUGCUUUGUGAAAAUAUAUGUAAUGAAAUUCAUAGUAGUUUUAUCUUCAGCAUUUUAUAAUGACAGAUCAGAUUAGAAGGUAAUUUUUUAUAAUUAUCAUUUGCUGAACAUUUGCAAUUGAUAUUUACAGAACAUGAGAGGACGUCAAUAUAUUUCUUUAGCAUUUAAUUAUUUUGCCAGAUUUAAACUCUUCUUUAUACAAUAUUUGUCAAUUUUCUUUGCCAAAACUAUUGUCUGCCCAAAUUAUGUUCCAAGGAAUUCAAAGAGACAGCCUAUUUGCCUAUCAAAAGCCAAUGACUGGGAAACAACAAUAUCUUUAUGUAUAGUGUACUUAGAAUAGAUAUUGAGAGUAGCAACAGUAUUAUCUGUGACCCUCAGUCUGAUAACAUCUUUCUCCAGUUUCAUCCCUUGCCAUAGAUUAGUAAGCUAGCGGUGGAGUGUUCUGUAUCUGAAGAUGGCCAUAGUUAUGUAGGUAGGUGUUACCUGGGGCCUUAUUAGUUGAUGGAGAGUUGACAAAGUGAUCCUUUACUGUUUUAGCCACCAAAUACUCUUAAAACAUGGUGGCAGAAAAAAAAAAAAUGCUAAGAAUGUUUCCCUUAUUUAUAAGUGCUAUAGAAUUCAGGUUGGGACUUCAGCAUAUCGCAAGUCAGGAACCUUGGAAGAGACUGGUAAAUGACUGUCAUUAUGGCACUAAAGAUAUAAAAAAUUAAACUCCUACAGAUAGACUUAGGUGCACUGUUUUCAUCACAAAAGAAAAGAUAAGCACAUGCAAACUUUUUUGACCACUUUAUUGUGUAGUCAUAGUUUUACAUCCUGUUUGCAUUUUUAAGGAGAAUGGCCUGUCAGCUAAUGUAGGUCCUAAUAGUUUUGCAAAUUCAUGAACAUAAGGAAGUGAAAGAUGAAUUAAAGAAGGAGGGUCAUGACAGAAGAAUUUUAACUUGGGACCUUUUAAUAUCUUUGUCAUGGUAGAAGA